CUGUUCAAGUUGCAACAACUGAGUCCUGGAUAGAAAAGGAGAAUUUCAUUCCCGUGGAAUGAUCAGGGACUCAUUUCAAGAGAGUCAAGCUAUGGUUGUCAGCCAUAUUUGUGUGCUUUUUAGAAAGCCUAGUUGACAACACCAGGUUGUGAAAUCUCACUUAGGCAAUUUGGUUGCUUUUAAGUCCCCAAGCAGCAAAGAGAGGACAAAAGGCGGGAUCAGCUCGUGGGGUAGGGUUCUUCAGAGUUCAUUCUUGUAUCAUGAGGCUCAGAAAGUGAGGUCAGCCUUGAAUCUGAAGCUUGAUCACACUGAUUUUCCUGGACCUUACAAGGGGGAUGUUGUCUGUAGUGGCAGAAUUGCACAAGAAGGUUUUGGAAUGGUUAACACAGAGCCUUCAGGAAUCUACUGUGGUGCGUUAUCCCCUAGAGAGAAAUUGGAUUCCAUUCAUCUGUCACUGUAUCAUACCAGCUCUCCUGGAGAAACUAUCAAAAAAUACAGCAAGUCUGUCAAAGCUAAAUGCCUGCUCUGAGUACUGUGGAUGGUGUCUGGGACACCAGCAUACUGCUAGCUGGAGAAGCAGUUACCCCUACCGAAGAGGAACUUUCUGCCCUUGCCUUACAGAUGGCCUAAUUAUAAAGAAAGAAAAGAGAAACAUUGUGGAGGUGCAAAAGACAAGUCGGGAUUCCCCUCUGGCAGCUCCUCCUUCCAGGCUCUGUGGAAAUGACUUUGUUUGUUGGGAAAUACAGAGGGACACUCAGUCUAUUUCUCACACACCCCAGCCAGUUACCUCAGGUCUCUUCAUGAGUGGGCAAUGGUCCAUGAUAAACACUCAGUUUUGGAUGCCAUCUUUUCAGGACCCUGUUGGUCCCUCUCUCAUCAGCUUAAGCUGA
rnacentral:lncRNA from 1 species